rnacentral:rRNA from 1 species
GAGUUUGAUCGUGGCUCAGAUUGAACGCUGGCGGCAUGCCUUACACAUGCAAGUCGAACGGCAGCAUGAUCUAGCUUGCUAGAUUGAUGGCGAGUGGCGAACCGGGUGAGUAAUACAUCGGAACGUGCCCUGUAGUGGGGGAUAACUAGUCGAAAGAUUAGCUAAUACCGCAUACGACCUGAGGGUGAAAGUGGGGGACCGCAAGGCCUCAUGCUAUAGGAGCGG